rnacentral:piRNA from 1 species
UCCAAGCCUAUUUUCUUCACCACACCACAC